UGGGGUAUGGCUUAGUGGUAAAGCUCUCGGCUGAUAACCGAGCGAUCGCGGGUUCAAUUCCCGCUACCCCAACCA
rnacentral:tRNA from 1 species